rnacentral:rRNA from 1 species
GAUGAACGCUAGCGGCAGGCUUAAUACAUGCAAGUCGAACGGGAAUUGGGUAGCAAUACCUGAUGAUAGUGGCGCACGGGUGCGUAACGCGUAUGCAACCUACCUUUAACAGGGGGAUAGCCCGGAGAAAUUCGGAUUAAUACCCCAUAGUAUUAUGGAGAGGCAUCUUUUCAUGAUUAAAGUUCCGGCGGUUAAAGAUGGGCAUGCGUGCCAUUAGCUAGUUGGUGAGGUAACGGCUCACCAAGGCGACGAUGGUUAGGGGUCCUGAGAGGGUUAUCCCCCACACUGGUACUGAGACACGGACCAGACUCCUACGGGAGGCAGCAGUAAGGAAUAUUGGUCAAUGGGCGGAAGCCUGAACCAGCCAUGCCGCGUGCAGGAAGACGGCCUUAUGGGUUGUAAACUGCUUUUGUCAGGGAAUAAACCCUCGUUUGCGAACGAGGCUGAAGGUACCUGAAGAAUAAGCAUCGGCUAACUCCGUGCCAGCAGCCGCGGUAAAACGUAGCGU